AUAGAGAAAUGCUGGCUGUGAGUACUCCAUUGUCGGAUAUACAAUUGACUGUCAACAACUGCAACCAAGAAUCAUCAAAGAAAUUAUCCAGGGCAAAAUGCUUGAUCAUUUCUUUUUCAGCUCUCUAUCAUAAUAAAGAAAAAUCUUCUACCCAAUAUGGUGACCUGUUUGGUAUAGCACAAUUAUGGUUACAACAAAUAUAUUCUAGGCUGCACCACCACUUGAAACACCACGUUCAUCAUUGCUGUGAAACAAAUAUAUUCUAGGCUGCACCACCACUUGAAACACCACGUUCAUCAUUGCUGUGAAAAUUUAAGAGAUCAUCACUGUACAACCUUCAAAGUCAUAUGUCCCAUCUCUUUUUGACACGGAACAUCAAAGCAGAGGAUUUGAUGUCAUCUUGGGGCACCUGGAGCAUGAACUGAACUUUAAUCUUCAUGGGAGCAGUCUUAGCUUUGCCAUCCUCCUCUCCAACCUAAACGCAAGGCAUUAGAAAGCUCAACUCUGGCGUACCAAAGUUUCACUAUGAGAAACCAAGGUGUUGAUCAACAAUGCCCAAAGAAGCAGAAGACAACCUAACCAUACAAUUAUGGGCCUUUGCAAUAUACCAUGUAUCUCACGCAUAAGCAAAUCAACAGGAAGCUCAGUAGGCUGAUGUAAUGAAGCUCCUUAAACACUGGCUACUAGUGGAAACAGAAGAAAACAACGAUGUGGCAAGGGUGGCGUGAUAUGGCAUCUCGCAGUCAGCAGGAGCUAAUUUUUCUAACACAACUCAAAAACAUGCUGCUGAUCUCAUCAGUUGAAAUAGAACAUGUAUUUCGAUUUGAAUUAAUUUCUGCAUCCUAAGCUUUUUCUCAUUUGUUUUUUGGACUGUCUGACAAGAAAUAUACGCACAAAUAUAAUUUAGAAGAGGUAAAAUAGAAGAUAAGGGACAGUUACUAUUUUAUUUCUGACCGAUUAAUAGAUCAACACAUUGUUCUCAAGGAAAUAGAAUAAGAAAAUAUUUCAUGAAACCAAUGCCCACAUUCUAACCAGAUGAGAAAGAAGCACAAGCACAAUUUGUUUUAUGUGGUAGGAUAUCUCCGAGGUACUAAUCUGGCUCAACUUGAACGUUCACCCAACAUUUUGAAUGAGUAAUUACACUUAGAGCCAACAUUCAGACAAUUAGAAUGAUGUUUUAUGUUAAGUUAAUGCAUAACAAUUAGCAGCCAAAGACAAUGAAAUUAGUGCAGAAAAAUAAAAC
rnacentral:lncRNA from 1 species